rnacentral:rRNA from 1 species
GACGAACGCUGGCGGCGUGCCUAAUACAUGCAAGUAGGACGCAGUUGCGAAUGGGUGAGUAACGCGUUGGUAACUGCCUAUUAGAGGGGGAUAACUAUUGGAAACGAUAGCUAAUACCGCAUACUAGUUGAUGGAUCUGCGUUGUAUUAGCUAGUAGGUAGGGUAAUCGCCUACCUAGGCGACGGAACAUAGCCGGACUGGGAAGGGGAUCGGCCCACCCGGGACUGGAGCACUGGCCAGACUCCUACGGGAGGCAGGAGUAGGGAAUCUUCGGCAAUGGGGGGAACCCUGACCGAGGAACGCCGCGUGAGUGAAGAAGGUUUUCGGAACGUAAAGCUCUGUUGUUAAGGGAGCGGUACUUAACCAGAAAGGGACGGCUAACUACGUGCCAGCAGCCGCGGUAAUAC